UUGCAUGGUGGGUGCUUCUGUUUAUGCUG
rnacentral:piRNA from 1 species